UAUAUUUUUCUGCUAAAAUUUGUUGAAAAGGGAUCCUACUAAGUAUAGUUUUAGGAAAAAUUAGAAUCAUUCAUUUUAAACUAUUAAUUGAUUUUUAGUAAAUUUUUAAGUAGAAGGGGGUCUACUACCUAGGCAGCUUAAGUCACCUUGCUUUGAAAAUACAUAUCUCGAACGUCAAACCUUGGAUCACCAUGAAAUUUGGUAGAUAGGAGCAACUCUAAGUCAAUCUCAACCACAAAACAUUUCAAGCACAUAGGAGUUGUAGGAAAAUUAUGGCGAAUUUCCAAACAACAAGGAAACUGCUGCCCUCAACUUGACAUACUCUAAGUAAGUUUUUCUUCCUUAA
rnacentral:lncRNA from 1 species